CAAUAAAUCAAAACAUUUAGUUAAUUCUUAAAAGUAUAGGAGAUAGAAAUUUAAUUUGGCACUAUAGAGAAAGUACCAUAAGGGAAAGAUGAAAGAAAAAUUAAAAGCCCUAACAGAUGGAGAAGAGCACACGUUUGA